ncrna:rumen bacterium NK4A136 DTF3800-XI RNA
UGGGCUGGUCGAGAGACCCAGGUCCAUCUGCGGCGGGGAAGUUCCCC